rnacentral:rRNA from 1 species
UACGUACCGUCCAAACGUUAUUCGGAAUCACUGGGCUUAAGGAGUUCGUAGGCGGCCCAGAAAGUUGGGUGUGAAAUCCCUCGGCUCAACCGAGGAAUUGCGCUCAAAACUACUGGGCUAGAGGGAGAUAGAGGUGAGCGGAACUGAUGGUGGAGCGGUGAAAUGCGUUGAUAUCAUCAGGAACACCGGAGGCGAAGGCGGCUCACUGGGUCUUUCCUGACGCUGAGGAACGAAAGCUAGGGGAGCGAACGGG